rnacentral:lncRNA from 1 species
AUGAUUAUUCAACUAAUGUGGAGCUCUCAACCAAAAGUUUCACCCUGCCAUUCCUUAGUGUAUUCUUACAGAAGAAGGCACUGUUGCCUGUCUUCCACUGACUCCAGCAUUGGCAAUCUGGUUUCCUUAAGAGAAGGCACAGUUUUAAAUUCAACUUUUGCUACUCACUAGUCCCUGAUCCCAGGUGCAGUGCCAGAUUUCUAAUCUGAGAAGAGAUUAUUCCAUCAAAUUCAAGAAAGACAGAUAAGGCCAAAUAGAUAAGCAAACAGCUAACCAGACAUGAUAUGCAAAAAUAAAAUGAAACUCCCAGCUCCUGAAUAGUCAUGUUUUAAGGCCACAAAGACAACAGGGAUAGGCAGAGGCACGGAGAAUAUACUGAACAGCUUGCACCAACACCAAACAUGAUGUAGCUUGGGGAAAGA